GGUGAACGCUGGCGGCGUGCCUAAUACAUGCAAGUCGAGCGAACGGACGAGAAGCUUGCUUCUCUGAUGUUAGCGGCGGACGGGUGAGUAACACGUGGAUAACCUCCCUAUAAGACUGGGAUAACUUCGGGAAACCGUAGCUAAUACCGGAUAAUAUUUUGAACCGCAUGGUUCAAAAGUGAAAUACGGUCUUGCUGUCACUUAUCGAUGGAUCCGCGCUGCAUUAGCUAGUUGGUAAGGUAACGGCUUACCAAGGCAACGAUGCAUAGCCGACCUGAGAGAGUGAUCGGCCACACUGGAACGGAGACACGGUCCUGACUCCUACGGGAGGCAGCAGUAGGGAAUCUUCCGCAAAGGGCGAAAGCCUGACGGAGCAACGCCGCGUGAGUGAUGAAGGUCUUCGGAUCGUAAAACUCUGUUAUUAGGGAAGAACAUAUGUGUAAGUAACUGUGCACAUCUUGACGGUACCUAAUCAGAAAGCCACGGCUAACUACGUG
rnacentral:rRNA from 1 species